AGAGUUUGAUCAUGGCUCAGGACAAACGCUGGCGGCGUGCGUUAAACAUGCAAGUCGAGCGGCUCCUUCGGGGGCAGCGGCGGACGGCUGAGUAGCACGUGCCUGACCUGCCCUUGUGUGGGGAAUAGCCCUCGGAAACGGGGGGUAAUACCGCAUGCGCUCGCGGCCGUGGGUGGUCGCGAGGAAAGGCUUCGGCCGCACGAGGAGGGGGGCGCGGCCCAUCAGGUAGUUGGUGUGGUAACGGUGCACCAAGCCUGUGACGGGUGGCCGGUCUGAGAGGAUGGUCGGCCAGACUGGGACUGGGACACGGCCCAGACACCUACGGGUGGCAGCAGUUAGGGAUCUUGCGCAAUGGGCGGAAGCCUGACGCAGCGACGCCGCGUGGGGGAGGACGGCCCUCGGGUUGUAAACCCCUUUUCGCGGGGACGAGGACGGACGGUACCCGCGGAAUAAGCACCGGCUAACUCCGUGCCAGCAGCCGCGGUA
rnacentral:rRNA from 1 species